AAGACCAAACAUCUUAUUCCUGAAAUAAUUACUCAACACAAAGGUUAGAUAAAUCCUCACACACUCAAGUGUUUAUCCUCACCCACUCAAGUGUUUCUCUCAGAUUUAGGUGAUCACACACAAGUUUCUACUCAAUGUUCUAAGAGAACAAAUCAAAGAAUCUCAAUGGGCAAAUCCAAGCAAACAAGGGAAUUUCUGAAGAUAGAAAGAUAAGAGAUUUUUUUUUUUUUUGAUUUUUGAAAUCCGUUUUAACCACCUCAAAGGCUGGAU
rnacentral:lncRNA from 1 species